UGUGUGUGUUUCUGUGCAUGUGUGUGUCUGUUUACAGAGGGGUUGUGGAGGUUCAGGCGGAGUUCAUGUUAUUCACAUCUCAGGAUGUAGAGUUUCAGUAAAUGGUGCAGCGUGUGUGCGACAGCGGCGCGGCUUUGUGUCACAGCGGCUGAAUCUAAACACACACCACCACGAGGACGACAGAGCUGGGGAGAAUUAGAGGCACGGAGAUGAGUAAAUAUGGAGAAGCAAUGGAGACAAUGAUGAGAAUGGAGACGGCACUGCAAGGAAAAUGCAGAGCGAAAAUACAAGCCCAGCAACAAAAGUCCUUCAUUGGAGAACUCAUCACAUCAACUCAUCUGCCUGCCCACCCCCCGUGACUCUGUUCGCAGGCGUAAAACAGACUAGUGGCCAUCAUCCAAGGAGGCUUCCUGGAUAAACCAGUAAUCAACCUCCCUCACGUCAAAUUUUAGCCAUUAAAGUGGUCUUCCGGUUCGCUUUAGGCCCUGCUGACAAGACUUGUCAGUGCCCCCUCUUUCACCCCCUGCAACCCCCAACCAUCAGCCAGCAACCCAUCAUAACCCAUCACCA